UACGUAGGGGACAAGCGUUGUCCGGAAUGACUGGGCGUAAAGGGCGCGCAGGCGGUCUGAUAAGUCAGAUGUGAAAGGUACCGGCUCAACCGGUGACGUGCAUUUGAAACUGUCAGACUUGAGUAUUGGAGAGGCAAGUGGAAUUCCUAGUGUAGCGGUGAAAUGCGUAGAUAUUAGGAGGAACACCAGUGGCGAAGGCGGCUUGCUGGACAAAUACUGACGCUGAGGUGCGAAAGCGUGGGGAGCGAACAGA
rnacentral:rRNA from 1 species